rnacentral:rRNA from 1 species
ACCCGCGUACAUGCCACCGGGGCAUCCCGGAGGCAGGAAAGGCUUCGGCCGGACAGGGAUGGGCAUGCGGCGCAUUAGGCAGUAGGCGGGGUAACGGCCCACCUAACCGACGAUGCGUAGGGGUUCUGAGAGGAAGGUCCCCCACACUGGUACUGAGACACGGACCAGACUCCUACGGGAGGCAGCAGUGAGGAAUAUUGGUCAAUGGUCGGGAGACUGAACCAGCCAAGCCGCGUGAGGGAUGAAGGUACAGAGUAUCGUAAACCUCUUCUGUCAGGGAACAAAGGCGGGGACGUGUCCCCGGAUGAGUGUACCUGAAGAAAAAGCAUCGGCUAACUCCGUGCCAGCAGCCGCGGUAAUACGGAGGAUGCGAGCGUUAUCCGGAUUUAUUGGGUUUAAAGGGUGCGCAGGCGGUCUGUUAAGUCAGCGGUCAAAGCCCGGGGCUCAACCCCGGCCCGCCGUUGAAACUGGCAGUCUCGAGUUGGAGAGAAGUAUGCGGAAUGCGCGGUGUAGCGGUGAAAUGCAUAGAUAUCGCGCAGAACUCCGAUUGCGAAGGCAGCAUGCCGGCUCCACACUGACGCUGAGGCACGAAAGCGUGGGUAUCGAACAGGAUUAGAUACCCUGGUAGUCCACGCAGUAAACGAU